rnacentral:rRNA from 1 species
AAAAAAAAAAACACGUGGAUAACCUACCUAUAAGACUGGGAUAACUUCGGGAAACCGGAGCUAAUACCGGAUAAUAUAUUGAACCGCAUGGUUCAAUAGUGAAAGACGGUUUUGCUGUCACUUAUAGAUGGAUCCGCGCCGCAUUAGCUAGUUGGUAAGGUAACGGCUUACCAAGGCAACGAUGCGUAGCCGACCUGAGAGUGUGAUCGGCCACACUGGAACUGAGACACGGUACAGACUACUAAGGGAGGAAGCAGUAGGGAAGUUUCCGCAAUGGGCGAAAUCCUGACGGAGCAACGCCGCGUGAGUGAUGAAGGUCUUUUUUUUGUUA